rnacentral:rRNA from 1 species
AUCAAUAAACGGAGGAAAAGAAACCAACAGGGGAUUACCUCAGUAACGGCGAGUGAAGCGGUAACAGCUCAAAUUUGAAAUCUGGGCGGCAAGGUCCGAGUUGUAAUUUGUAGAGGAUGUUUCGAGCAUGGUCUGGCCUAAGUUCCUUGGAACAGGACGUCAUAGAGGGUGAGAAUCCCGUAUGCGGUCAGGUGCCUACGCUCAUGUGAAGGUCGUUCGACGAGUCGAGUUGUUUGGGAAUGCAGCUCAAAAUGGGUGGUAGAUUUGAUCUAAAGCUAAAUAUUGGCCAGAGACCGAUAGCGCACAAGUAGAGUGAUCGAAAGAUGAAAAGCACUUUGGAAAGAGAGUUAAACAGUACGUGAAAUUGUUGAAAGGGAAGCGCUUGCAACCAGGACUUGCGCGCGGCUGAUCAUCCGGGCUUCUGCCCGGUGCACUCGGUCGCGCUCAGGCCAGCAUCGGUUUUGGUGGCGGGAUAAAGGCCUUGGGAAUGUAGCUCCUCUCGGGGAGUGUUAUAGCCCAGGGUGCAAUGCCGCCUACCGGGACCGAGGACCGCGCUUCGGCUAGGAUGCUGGCGUAAUGGUUGUAAGCGACCCC